rnacentral:rRNA from 1 species
UACGUAGGGGUGCAAGCGUUAAUCGGAAUUACUGGGCGUAAAGCGUGCGCAGGCGGUUUUGUAAGUCUGUCGUGAAAUCCCCGGGCUCAACCUGGGAAUUGCGAUGGAGACUGCAAGGCUAGAAUCUGGCAGAGGGGGGUAGAAUUCCACGUGUAGCAGUGAAAUGCGUAGAGAUGUGGAGGAACACCGAUGGCGAAGGCAGCUCGCUGGGACGGUACUGACGCUAAGGCGCGAAAGCGUGGGGAGCAAACAGG